CUGUUCACUGGGGUAAAAAUACAGAUUUUAAUACCCGUCUUAUUUUAGUUCUAAGACUUGGCAAUUGCCAGGUAUCAUCUUUUCGAUUUACCCAGGUCCACCGCCGAGGCCACAAGGGAGAUUUCUUCCAGAGAGAGGAGAGAGUUAUUAAGUCUAAAGUCCAUUAUUUGCUUUUGUCCUUCAGGAAAAGAUGGUCCUGACUCUGGGUGGAUCUAACAAGGAUCCUGGAACUCCAGGGGUAUGGCUUAAUUCUUAGCGGAUUCGAUCCUGGCUUUAAAUCAAGUCUCACAGGUUCUGCUUUUUGGAUUUACCGGGAACUUCCCAGUCCAGACGAUUGGAAUUACAGCAUUAUACUUUGACUGGUAUGAUCUUCUGCUUUCGGUAACCAUCCUGUAACAACAAAGCCACUGCUUCGAUACGUUUAGUUUCUGGAAUUAAAAUUUUAAUCUCUCCAUUUUUUAAUUUAAUUUCUGCCUCUAAGUUCUCCAGUAGAUCUCCCCUUAACAGGAGUUUAGGAAAAUUUGGCACAUACAAAAACUGCUGAGUGACCCGUUGCUUUCCUAAUUUCAUUGUUAAAGAUUUAAAGAAGGGUCUAGUUUCUCGUUCACUUGUUGCACCAACACCACCAAUUUCUUCAAAACUUAACUCUCCCUCUAAGGUAUUUAAAACUGAAAAGG